UCCCUGGCAGUCCAGUGGUUAGGACUUGGCACCAGCACUGCCAGGGCCCAGGUUCGAUCCUUGGUUGGGGAA
rnacentral:tRNA from 1 species